rnacentral:rRNA from 1 species
GACGAACGCUGGCGGCGUGCUUAACACAUGCAAGUCGAACGGAAAGGCCCUGCUUUUGUGGGGUGCUCGAGUGGCGAACGGGUGAGUAACACGUGAGUAACCUGCCAUUGACUUUGGGAUAACUUCAGGAAACUGGGGCUAAUACCGGAUAGGAGCUCCUGCUGCAUGGUGGGGGUUGGAAAGUUUCGGCGGUUGGGGAUGGACUGGCGGCUUAUCAGCUUGUUGGUGGGGCAGUGGCUUACCAAGGCUUUGACGGGUAGCCGGCCUGAGAGGGUGACCGGCCACAUUGGGACGGAGAUACGGCCCAGACUCCUACGGGAGGCAGCAGUGGGGAAUAUUGCACAAUGGGCGGAAGCCUGAUGCAGCAACGCCGCGUGCGGGAUGACGGCCUUCGGUUUGUAAACCGCUUUCGCCUGUGACGAAGCGUGAGUGACGGUAAUGGGUAAAGAAGCACCGGCUAACUACGUG